UGCCAGCAGCCGCGGUAAUACGGAGGGUGCGAGCGUUAAUCAGAAUUACUGGGCGUAAAGCGCGCGUAGGCGGUUUGAUAAGUCGGAUGUGAAAUCCCUAGGCUUAACCUGGGAAUUGCAUUCGAUACUGUCAAGCUAGAGUCUAGGAGAGGGAUGCGGAAUUCCGGGUGUAGCGGUGAAAUGCGUAGAUAUCCGGAGGAACACCAGUGGCGAAGGCGGCAUCCUGGCCUAAGACUGACGCUGAGGCGCGAAAGCGUGGGGAGCAAACAGGAUUAGAUA
rnacentral:rRNA from 1 species